rnacentral:rRNA from 1 species
UACGGAGGGUGCAAGCGUUGUCCAGAUUUAUUGGGUUUAAAGGGUGCGUAGGCGGCCCGUUAAGUCAGUGGUGAAAGCCUCCAGCUCAACUGGAGAACUGCCAUUGAUACUGACGGGCUUGAGUACAGACGAGGUUGGCGGAAUUGAUUGUGUAGCGGUGAAAUGCAUAGAUACAAUCAAGAACACCGAUUGCGUAGGCAGCUAACUAGGCUGUAACUGACGCUGAGGCACGAAAGCGUGGGGAGCGAACAGG